UGUGCAUCCGGACCGGUUUUUUUCCGGAUCCGGUCCGGAAAUCCGGAUCCGGGUUAAUCCGGGCGGUUAUCCGCCCGGAUUACACCCGGGCGGUUGUUAUAAAUCCGGAUCCGGUUACGGAUCCGGUUUUAUAACCCGGUAAUCCGUAACCGGGUUAUACACCCGGUUACUAUGUUUUUUCCCCGAAACGACACCGUUUCUCCUUACCAUUUAGAUUUUCCGGAAACGUAACCCGGUCUCUCACUCGUCUGAAUCUCUCACUCGUCUUCUCUCACGCUCGUCUCUCAAGAACCCUAGGGCCCGUGGCGAUUGCAUAGCAAAUCUUCUCUCUGUGUAAUCUAGCUAAGGCCAAACUGAUACAAAGAGAUGGUACUUUCAGACUUUCUGGUGGACCAAUGUGACCAUACAAAUCUCAUUGUGGUCUAUAAUCGAUGAAGUUGCAUCUAAGCCCAAUGGUCUUUCUGUCCUUAGCAUGACAUUCAAGACUUGCAAUCCCCUAAACUCAGUUGAUGUGCUCAAGAACUAUUUGGUGUCGAUGUAUAUCUGAAACAGAUGUAGGUUGUGAAUGCAUUCUGAGUUGUGAAUGGAUGCACACCCCUAGAUGGCAGGUUGGAUCAGCUACCUGUUGAUGUGAAGAGCAUUGUAAUUUUUUUUUUUUU